rnacentral:miRNA from 1 species
GAGAGAUGUCGGGAAGGUCACG